AAUUGAUGAACUUGUUAAAGUAUAUACCUUGAAAGUAUAAGAAAGAGAUAAACUCUAUCAAUUU
rnacentral:tRNA from 1 species